rnacentral:rRNA from 1 species
GACGAACGCUGGCGGCGCGCCUAACACAUGCAAGUCGAACGGAGUCACGAGGAGCUUGCUUUUCUUGACUUAGUGGCGAACGGGUGAGUAACGCGUGAGUAACCUGCCCUGGAGUGGGGACAACAGUUGGAAACGACUGCUAAUACCGCAUAAGCCCACGGAUCCGCAUGGAUCUGCGGGAAAAGGAUUUAUUCGCUUCAGGAUGGACUCGCGUCCAAUUAGCUAGUUGGUGAGGUAACGGCCCACCAAGGCGACGAUUGGUAGCCGGACUGAGAGGUUGAACGGCCACAUUGGGACUGAGACACGGCCCAGACUCCUACGGGAGGCAGCAGUGGGGGAUAUUGCACAAUGGGGGAAACCCUGAUGCAGCGACGCCGCGUGGAGGAAGAAGGUUUUCGGAUUGUAAACUCCUGUCGGUAGGGACGAUAAUGACGGUACCUAACAAGAAAGCACCGGCUAACUACGU